UUAAUUUUCAUGAACCCCUAAUUUAUAAUGAAUGACUCCAUAUUUAUAUGGAAGACACCAUGCUAGGAUUAGUAACAAGAAUUUAUAAUUCUCCAAAAUGCAAAUAUAAACCAACAUGGAUGGACCAUUGGUAGUUACCGAACCUAAAUUUUAUGCAAUAACACCCACAAGAAAACUCUGCAGUACUUACUCGUUAACCUAACACCAGCGCAUUACAGGAAAGAUUUAAAAAAAGAGAAGGAAUUCGGCAAAUGACGGCCCCGCCUGUUUACCAAAAACAUCGCCUCUUGACUUAUAAUAAGAGGUCCAGCCUGCCCAGUGAAUUUUAAACGGCCGCGGUAUUCUAACCGCGCGAAGGUAGCAUAAUCACUUGUUCUUUAAAUGGGGACUCGUAUCAACGGCAUCACGAGGGUUUUACUGUCUCCUCUUUUUGAUCAGUGAAAUUGAUCUUCCCGUGAAGAAGCGGGAAUAAAUUUAUAAGACGAGAAGACCCCAUGGAGCUUUAAACCAAAUAACAACUUAACCACUUAUCCCAUAAUAAAUUUAAACCCUGUUAUAAGGUUUUUGGUUGGGGUGACCGCGGAGUAAAGCACAUCCUCCACGACGGAAAGAACAAAAUCUUUAUUUAAGAACCACACUUCUAGAAAUUAGUAUACUAACGUUUACUGACCCGACAAUCGAUCAACGGACCAAGUUACCCUGGGGAUAACAGCGCAAUCUACUUCAAGAGCCCAUAUCGACAAGUAGGCUUACGACCUCGAUGUUGGAUCAGGGUAUCCCGGUGGUGCAGCCGCUACCGAAGGUUCGUUUGUUCAACGAUUAAAACCCUACGUGAUCU
rnacentral:rRNA from 1 species